AAGUAGCGAUAGAGUGAACAUGGUGAGACUACUAAUCACAAACAAACCAAUCACCUCCUUGUUUUUUGCUUCUACCCUCACACGAAUCACAAACAAACCAAGACUACUAAUCACCUCCCAAGUAACCUUAAAAUCAUAGUCUUCGACCGAUUCCGAUGAAGAAGAAGCCGAAUUGAAGAGUAAUCUUGAUAAAGUAGGUCGCAAAAUUCGAGUAAAAACCCCUUUGAAUGUCUACCAUAUCCCUAAAUUGCCUGAAUUAGAAUUGACUUCCGACAUGAUCGGGGUAAUUAAGCAGUACAUUGGGCUCUGGAAAGGAAAGAGAAUCUCUCCUAAUCUUCCGUUUAAAGUUGAGUUCGUUGUUGAAAUUGAAGGUCGUGGUCCUGUCAAAUUUGUUGCUCAUCUCAAGGAAGACGAAUUCCAUAUCAUAGACCAGUAGCUGCAAUACACUUGUGUAGCUAUUGAACAAGUACUGUUGCUGAAUAUGAAUCAAUCUUUUUACCCUUAGCCUUGUCAAAACUUACUGUGUAAGCUGCCUUUUGAGCCUUGCUAACACGAAGCUCUGCAGCUUUUGAUUGCUGCACCAGUGGUUCUGAUCUUCGUAUGGGAGGACGCUUCGCUGAAGCUUUACUGUCUGGAAACCCACCCGGUUGUUCAUGAAGAAUGUCUUGAUCCAUCAUAGCCCAAGAAUUCCUCACUUUUCGAGCCUUGUCAAAUGAAGCUGUGUAACUAAUAUUCUCUCCAUUCUUCCAUUUACCAAAUUCUGGUACUUUAUACUGUAGAUAAUAGCAAACGAAUUAGCUCUUAGUGCUUAGCUUUUCACAUAUUAACCGAUACAAAUAAAAAUGAGAUUCCUACGACAAAUCUUUGGCAAAUGGCCGAUAGCUGGUAACUAAUAGCUGAUACUGCUUUGACUAGCUGAUUUUGAACUCGCUGCUAUAAACAGCUUAUUCAAAAAUAACUUAUUCACAACAACAAGAUGAAUCAACCAGCUAAUUUACCAAACACUAGCAUUGGUUGGUUUGAUCACCCAAUCCUUUGUUUAUAUCAAAAGAAGCUAAAAUUGUCCAAUAAGUUAUAUUGCCAAAUGCCCCCAAUAGUGAAAUAGGGGUAUUUGGCUAGUGAUUUUUCGGUUGUCUUUUUAGUUAUAUUUAGGGUUUUGACUUUUUGGUUAGUCAAACUACCAAAAAUUUGUUUCGUAAAUGCCUUUUAAGUCCAUAAGCCAAAACUAUAAAAUUACUAUGGCUAACUUUUAUAUUGACUCUUGACUUUUUAAACCAGCCUUUUCUCCAAUAAAUAACUUUUACUAAAGAUUUUUAACAGCUGAUUUAGUAAUUAGCAAAUCAGUUAAUACUUUUAGCUGGUUAAAUUAACCUUCAAUCAUUUGCCAAAUACAACGUAGUAGUAACAGGUUUGUGCACGAGAAAUUAGAAUUUCUCAUUUUAAGGCUUUGCAGAAAACUUACAUUUUGAGCAAGAAUUGCAUUGGCUGAACCUGAAUAUGUUCCAUUCUUGUUCUUCUGAGCUUAAGCUUCGUUACUUUGACUUUCCUGGAUUAUAUGCUCAGCAGCUUUCAAUUGCGAGCGUUGGAGCUCCGAUCUUCCUAUCUGAGAAAGUCGUGCUGUCGAGGUUUCAUUUUCUGGUAAGCUAACCCUCAAUUCACAAAAAUAGUUUGGAUCGAGCAUUGCCCGAGUAUCCCUCAAUUUUCGAGCAUUCUCAAAGGUGGUUGUGUAUGUAAUAUUCUUUCCCGUCUUCCAUUUGCCGAACUCUGGGACUUUGUACUGUUGAUGAAUGAUGAUGACAAUCAAAAGAACAUCGUAUGAGUUACUAGUCUUUGACAAAUCAAUCAAACAACUACAAAGAGAGUUAUUCUAUUUUUAGUUUCUUAUUAUCUCUUCCUAUCUAUAAAUCAAGAAAGGUCUCGUUUUAAUUGGAGCAUGGGCCACCUUCUGCAUGAAGGAUCUAGAUCCGGUUCUCGUAUCCCUCCCCUUGUUACACCCAAAUAAUCAAGAAAAACAACAAGCUUUAUAAACAAGCUAUAAAUGUUUUCAUGUUAGGCAUCCGAAAUAUAAACGACUAUACGAAUUGCCGAGGAAAACAAAGAACUACAUACUUACAGCCAUGAAAAUGAAGCUAGGAGACGGCGGACGGUGUCGUCUCGACUUACAUCCAAGCGGUCUAUAAUCAAUGGUCGUUGGGUGUAUAGUCUUUUUGAAAUGGAUAAUUAUACUAAUUCUAUAUUAUUAUUAUUAUGUAUUUUGAUCAUAAGAUCAUAUUUAUUCAUUUAUUAUGCUGAAUUGAAGGGUUGGAACUUGGAUUGAUUUCUUCUGUGACUAUUAACUUUUUUUUAUUAGUGUUGACUAUGGAACAAUUCAUUUGAUACAAGAAUAGAAAAGUUCAUUAUGUGUUAGUUAUUA